AUAAAUACAAAGGGCUUCCUCAGACUUUGUGGCAAAGCUUUUCUAUAUUGUAGGAACUGGUUUCUGGAAAUGAGGACCUGAACAUAGCUAUUCCCAUCUCUGUGUGUAUGUGUAUGUGUGUGUGCACACUCCUGCACAUUUUACAAGGCAAAUUGCAUUAGAAGAUUUUUCUAUUUCUAGGAUGGAGGGGAGGGUGUCCAAAUGUAUUACCCAUCCAUUAGGCAAUACAGAAGCCUGAAUUCUAACAAGCCUACCUUGGGAGCCAGGUAUCUUGGUAGUUCAAUCAUCAGGUUGGCCAACCCUUUCCGGUAUCUGAACCUCCAUGCCCUCAACUGUCAGAGGAAGAGGGUGAACUUGGGGGAUCUCCCAAGAGGAUGGUCUUGGAGGACCUACCAGUCUGCCCUGCUCAUACUUGAUCUGGAUGAGACUGAUACCCUGCGAGACGCAACAGAAUCAGCUCCUGGGAUUGUGUUAGCAGAAUGACGGGAGUGUGAGAUCCACCACAUGGCGAGGCACCCCAGGAACCUGUUUUCUUCUUGAAGAGCAACCGAGAACUAUUUCCAAGUUAUCCUUCACUUUGAG
rnacentral:lncRNA from 10 species